GAAAUGCGAUAAGUAAUGUGAAUUGCAGAAUUCAGUGAAUCAUCGAAUCUUUGAACGCACCUUGCGCUCCUUGGUAUUCCUUGGAGCAUGCCUGUUUGAGUAUCAUGAAAUCUUCAAAGUAAAUCUUUUGUUAACUCAAUUGGUUUCUACUUUGGUAUUUGAGGUCUUUGCAGCUUCACACCUGCUCCUCUUUGUUCAUUAGCUGGAUCUCAGUGUUAUGCUUGGUUCCACUCGGCGUGAUAAGUUAUCUAUCGCUGAGGACACUGUAAAAGGUGGCCAAGGUAAAUGCAGAUGAACCGCUUCUAAUAGUCCAUUGACUUGGACAAUACUUUUAUGAUCUGAUCUCAAAUCAGGUAGGACUACCCGCUGAACUUAAGC
rnacentral:misc_RNA from 1 species